GUUGGUGCUCAAGGACCUACCUUAAGUGGUGAGAAAUCUGGAGGAAGGAGGGAAAGGAGAAGGGGGUGGCCUGUUGACCACGCUUUCUGCAACAUACACAGGAUGGGUAAAAUGUAAAAGACAAUUGGAGACAGCAGAGGAAAGAGAGGAAUGAAACAACCAAAUGAGGUGUGUCCUGAAUAGGACAAAUCAGCUACAGUUUGGAGAUUUCAGUAAUUUUAGUCUACAGUGGGAUAGCGCUAAAAGCUAGAUUAGACCUUUCUGCAUUUCUUUGCCAUUAUGAGACUGAAGAAGACUUUCUAGUAUUCAGAUAUUCAAGGAACUGUCUGGAAAAUAGCAGCAAGAUGUGUUCGUGCCAAGGCCAUUAACCCUCUAUUCUUGCCAACAUCAAAUUAAAUAAACUGAGAAAACAAUUUGCAUAACACUGUCACAGCGAUAUACAGUCAAGGCAACCUUUUGGAAGACUGAGCUUAUGAAGAGGUUUAGUAGAGUAGACACAGCCAAUGACUACGUGGUAAGACCUGGGAGUGACCAAGUGUGACUUUUGGAAACAGGCUCUGCAUGUCUAUGCACAGCUCUCACAUACGGAUAUAUUGGACUCCUGCGCGGCUCUUAUGGGCCACUAAGUGCAGCCUUCUGCUUUGACCUCUGUGCAAACUGCUGGCAGGUUUCCCUGGUGGUCUUCUAGUGGCUGGUGAGAUCCAGAAAUGUACAUAAAUAUGUGAGCCAUUUGAAAGCAACAAGAGAACAGAAAACAAGAGUCUGUGGUCACUGGAGGACAUGGAGUCAGCUUGUGCAAAAAUGUCUAAAACAAUCACUUCUGUCAUUGUCUGACUUUUCUUGCUCUUUACAAGCAGUUGAACCUUGAGUUCUCUUUGAGCAGAACAGCAGCAGCCACUUCCCUGCUCUGCUUUCACUUGAACUAAGCACAUGAUACAAUUCUGUACCAGAUUUGUGUCCUGGCUAUUUGAUAUGUUCACAUGACAGCAAAUGGAGUAGCAGGAUGUGCAAUCCAGAACACAAGAUCUGAAACUCUGAGAUGGGACACAAAACAAUAUAAGACACAUCUGGAGUCUGAAAUCUUUAUGCUAACCAGUUACAGCUAUUUACAGUUGCUUCAGAUUUGCUAUGGAUUAGCAAAAAGAAAUAAAAAUCUGGUGUAUUUGGAGAAAACCAGAUGGACUUCUGCGUUCAGACCCUUCAUCAUGUUCUGUUCAUCAGAAUUAAUUUGCAAUUACAGCCUGGAGGAUGACCAAGAUUAUACAACUAUGUUACAUUGUAUGGUGUACUCGUCAUAUCCUUCCCUGAGGACCACAUGA
rnacentral:lncRNA from 1 species